ACACUAGGGAGAGCUGCCUUGAUUCUGCUAUUCAUCCCAACACCAUCUCGGGUCUUUCAGGCUGUUUUGAUUGCUACUUUGGGUACCAGCCUUAGAAGCAUGCCCUUCUUCCUAUCAUAGAACCUUCUAAAGCCUGACUUUCUAAAAACACUAACAGCCCUAAUGCCAAUGUAUGUUCUAGUUCAUCAAACUGAAUGGAACGACAGGGGCCCAAUGAGAGGGUCUCCUGCCCCCAGGAAUUAAUGGUGAGUCCCCUCCCCAUAUCAGCCACACAGCUACAGAGGUGAGGACUCUGGGGCAGGAUUGGCAGCAGGAAAGGAAAUUUCCUGGUAUCUUACAAUGCAUACUUGUGACUAUGAUUGUUUUCCUUUCUUCCUUUUAAAGGAGCAGGGCUGAGCUGAUGAUAGGAACAUAGUCUCUUAACAUGUCUUCUAACCCUGACUCAUGGCACCUUUUUCUCUCCGCCUCCAUCUUGUCAGUCCUCCUUUCGACUCAGAAAGGGAGCUGAAGGGACUGCCCCGGCACAGCUUUCUGGCUUCAAAACAGGAGGACGGAAGUGCCUACACAAAGGAAACCGUUAGGCCCAGAUAGCAUCUCAGCCACCCAAGGUCCUGACGAAGGCCCAGAGGCAAGAGGAAGAGGAAGAGAAAGCUGACCUUCGUCGUGCUUGGUGGAGAUGGGGAUGGAGGGGCUCUGAACCAAAGAACCCUGUGAGCGAACCAGGAGACUGAGGGGGCACGGAGAGGGACACAAGGACUUGCCAGACGCCAGCAUGGACAAAUCUUCUCAGGUUGGGCACAUCAGUAGCUGAAAGCCUCCUCUGACCAUCGGCGGCCUCAGGAAGUGAGACUUAACAGCCUCGCAGAUGGGAACCCAAUUCCUGAGUGACCAUGCCUGAGAGAGUGUCUGCCCGCACCCCAGCCAGGCCCCCUGCCCUCCCUCCACCACAAUUCUAGAACCCCAGACCUCACCCCUCCUCUUCAGAGACUUAUCAACAGGAAGUUAAAUCAGCGGGAA